rnacentral:rRNA from 1 species
UACGUAGGGACCGAGCGUUGUCCGGAAUCAUUGGGCGUAAAGAGCGUGUAGGCGGCCUUUUAAGUCCUGCGUGAAAUCCUGCGGCUCAACCGCAGACGGUCGUGGGAAACUGGAAGGCUAGAGUGCGGGAGAGGAGAGUGGAAUUCCGGGUGUAGCGGUGGAAUGCGUAGAGAUCCGGAAGAACACCGGUGGCGAAGGCGGCCUGCUGAGCAGUAGCUGACACUGAGGCGCGACAGCGUGGGGAGCAAACAGG